GGGAACUACGAGCAUAAGCUUAAAACCCAAAGGACUUGGCGGUGCUUUAGACCCCCCUAGAGGAGCCUGUUCUAGAACCGAUAACCCCCGUUCGACCUCACCUUUUCUUGUUCAUCCCGUCUAUAUACCGCCGUCGUCAGCAUACCCUGUGAAGGAAACAUAGUAAGCAAAACUGGUAAAACCCAAAACGCCAGGUCGAGGUGUAGCACACGAAAAGGAAAGAAAUGGGCUACAUUUCCUCUUACAGGAAAUACGAAUUGUGUCAUGAAACAACACAUGAAGGAGGAUUUAGCAGUAAGUAGAAAACAGAGUGUUCUACUGAACCCGGCCCUGAAGCACGCACACACCGCCCGUCACCCUCCCCAAAUCAAAAUAUACCCAUAUUUAAAAACCCACAGAACUUAAAGGGGAGGUAAGUCGUAACAUGGUAAGUGUACUGGAAAGUGCACUUGGAAUAAA
rnacentral:rRNA from 1 species